UACGGGGGGGCAAGCGUUGUUCGGAAUUACUGGGCGUAAAGGGCUCGUAGGCGGCCAACUAAGUCGGACGUGAAAUCCCCAGGCUCAACCUGGGAACUGCGUCCGAUACUGGAUGGCUUGAAUCCGGGAGAGGGAUGCAGAAUUCCAGGUGUAGCGGUGAAAUGCGUAGAUAUCUGGAGGAAUACCGGUGGCGAAGGCGGCAUCCUGGACCGGUAUUGACGCUGAGGUGCGAAAGCGUGGGGAGCAAACAGGG
rnacentral:rRNA from 1 species